UGGGACCCUAUGUAACUACAAGACCAGAAGUGUCUUGACUGUGAAAGGAGCUUUCUUACAGAAAUCUUUAAAACUAGGUCUUAAUCUCACUGUAUGUCCUGGGAUGUCUACUCUUUUUCAGAAUGUUCCCUGUGUACUUGACCGAAGUUGUUCUGUCCAAAGCCAGCCAGAUACCUGCUAGUGUGAGUAAUGGUCCAGAACAGUUUGGAAAUGGAGAUGACCGGGCUCUGUCAGUCUCAUUUUAGUGAAAAUAGACCAGCGAUAUCUUGUGGAUUGACACCUGUGUACAGACCACACUUUGAGUAGCCUGUGUUAGAGCUCAGAUGAGAAGUGAUGAGAGCCUGAAACCCAACAGUAGCCCAGAAAGGAAAUCGAAGCCCAGAGAGGUAUCUAGACUUGCCUGUGGCCACACAGCUAAUUAAUAACAUAGUUGGGAACAGACUUAAUCUCCUAACUUCCAACUUCGCACCCUACUGGGUUCCUGGGCUAGACUCAGACAGCACCAAGAAAAAAACAGGAGAAAAUGGCGCUAUCGCCCCUGGUACCUGCUCCUUUCCGGCGCCCCCGGACACUUUUCAUUCAAAUGUGUAAAUGCACAGAAGAGAGAAGUUAAUGAUCAGUAACCUUUUACCAUCGUGGGAGGAGCGACUUCUGGUGCUAAGUAUCAGGAAACUUCUGAGGGAAUGAUUCCAGGUUCCCUUA